rnacentral:lncRNA from 1 species
UCAAGUAAAGCCAUUAUACUCAUGUAAAGAUGUAUUAUCUUCCAAAUGUUGCAGUACACCUAAUAUGAAUCCUAAUAUAUUUGGAAUCUACAAUGAUGCUUGAAAAUAAAGCUUACAUCCAUAUUACUGUCUUUUACGAUAAGACCAUAGAAGAAUCACACAACAACACUCAAAGUACGAAUAACCGAUUGAAGUAAUAUCAUGUUUUUGACGUUUUUUUAAUAACUAUCACUUGUGAAAAAUAUACUCCAGUAUCAGAUCUUAAUGGAUGGAGAAGCAGGUGAU